rnacentral:lncRNA from 1 species
UCAGAUGAGCAAGAGGAGGGUUUCAUCUUGGUCACCAGUGCCGAGAUAUCAGCAAGAGCCACAGGCCUAAAUGAGGACCACAAGCUGGAGGCAGGCUCAGUGACAGCAGGGGUUUCACACAAAAAAGAAGAAGGGGGGGGGGGGGGGAUUUUCUCCUUGAUUAACUUAAUUUUAUCAAUGAAGAAUCUCAAGAAAGCAUUGCUGUCAGCUUCACAAAAAACAGGGGUAACUGGGGCAGCAGGACGUACAAGUGAAUUGAUCGUGUCAAACAACACUUUGGGGUUUUUCUUAUUUACUGUUACCAGUUGACGGAAGUACUCAGAUCUAGCAUUUCCCACCAUCUCAUUAUAAGAUGUAGGGGAAUCUCUUUAUACAUUUAGGUUAAGAAAUGUAGAGUAAUGAUCUUUUAGUAAGAAGCCACAACUAAUCUAGGUUGGCCUGAUCCUGCAGCCCCACGACCAUGAGAUUGUAAGCAAGGCUGUCUUGCAGUAGCCCAAACUAUCUGUCUGUUGGAACACGUAAUCUCUGCCUGGGUCAAGACGAACCUAAACCAAGUGUCGUGGGGCAGACAUGACAUCAGGAGAGGCCUUCUGGAGAAUACACAUACACACACACACACACAUCCACACACACACACACACACACACACACACACACACACACACACACACACACACACACACACACACACACACACACACUCACACAGGAUAAAAGGGAGUAGAAGAAAAGCUAGGGGUGCUUCCUUCGGUCUUGGUCGAGACAUAAUUGGCGAGCUAACACAGGAUUCGUGUCUGAGAAACAGGAGCCGUGGCUCUGCGACCUCUCGAGGGGGAGACGCUUGGGGCCCCAAAAAAGAGAAUAAGGUAGGAGAUCUCCUAAAAAAAAUUUUGUCUGAGUGCUUUGCCCUGCGAGAUAGCGCAGACCUACGCUCACUGUUCCCUUCGAAUCAAAGAACCUAGAAUAGAAAAAGAGGAGACUGUGGGAAUGAAGACAGUCUGGGUAAACUGCAUGCAUGCAGUCAGCUGAUCAAAGUCUGCUAAAUUUGUGAGGAAGCCAGUUGAAAUUGAAUAUAUAUCAGCUGAUUUAAGAGAAACUGCAGUUGACUGUGUGAAAUUGCCUCACGCUGUUGCAUGUGUGAGAUGCCAUAUGUAGAGCUGUAGGCUGCUACAUAUGAGGGAUGCCAUAUGCAGAGCUAUAGGUUGCUGCAUGUGAGGAAUGCCAUAUGUAGAGCUAUAGGCUGCUGCAUAUGAGGGAUGCCAUAUGUAGAGCUAUAGGCUGCUGCAUGUGAUGAAUGCCAUAUGUAGAGCUAUAGGCUGCUGCAUGUGAUGAAUGCCAUACGAGGAGCUAUAGGCUGCUGCAUGUGAUGAAUGCCAUACGAGGAGCUAUAGGCUGCUGUAUGUGAUGAAUGCCGUAUGUGGAGCUAUAGGCUGCUGCAUGUGAUGAAUGCCAUAUGUGGAGCUAUAGGCUGCUGCAUGUGAUGAAUGCCAUAUGUAGAGCUAUAGGCUGCUGCAUGUGAGGAAUGCCAUAUGUAGAGCUAUAGGCUACUGCAUAUGAGGAAUGCCACAUGUAGAGCUAUAGGCUGCUGCAUAUGAGGGAUGCCACAUGUAGAGCUAUAGGCUGCUGCAUAUGAGGGAUGCCACAUGUAGAGCUAUAGGCUGCUGCAUAUGAGGAAUGCCACAUGUAGAGCUAUAGGCUGCUGCAUAUGAGGAAUGCCACAUGUAGAGCUAUAGGCUGCUGCAUAUGAGGGAUGCCACAUGUAGAGCUAUAGGCUGCUGCAUGUGAUGAAUGCCAUAUGUAGAGCUAUAGGCUGCUGCAUAUGAGGAAUGCCACAUGUAGAGCUAUAGGCUGCUGCAUGUGAGGAAUGCCAUAUGUAGAGCUAUAGGCUGCUGCAUGUGUGAGAUGCCAUAUGUAGAAGCCAUAGGCUGUUCUAUGUGUGAGAAGCUAUAGGCCGGGUGCAGAAGCACUUCGUCUUCCUGAAAGGGUGAGACCGCCUCACGCUGCUAUAAGUGUGAGAUUGUCAUAUAUGAAGCUAUAGACUGGGUGCAGAAGCACUUCGUCUUCCUUAAAGGGUGAGACCGCCUCACGCUGCUAUAAGUGUGAGAUUGUCACAUGUGAAGCUAUCGGCUGGGUGCAGAAGCACUUCGUCUUCUUUAAAGGGUGAGAUCGCCUAAUGCUGCUAUAAGUGUGAGACGGACAUAUUUUCUUUAAACUGAAUGCCUGGAGAUAAAAGGGCCUGGGUAAUUGUUGGGAUAACAAGGGGAGCGGCAGGCACAAAUGUGUCUGUCCAUUGUUGAACUGUGAGCUUUAGGUUCUUUUUUAUGAGCUCAAGUGGCAGUCGCCGACAGACGAGCAGAAAUCCUCACGAAAGGUCGAAAGGCCCCAUGAAAUCAGUGUCCUAAUUGGAUUUAAAUUACAGAUACAGAUCGGCUCGAUGAGCAGGAAAUAGAAAUAGAGGUCAAUAAGGAUAGGCUGAAAAGCCUAUUCAGGGAUCCCAACUGUACAAGCACGUCCCAUAUCUCCUGACCAAUUGUAGAAGAAUCACACAAAUUGAAAAAAACACACAAAUUGGAAAAUUGAAGAAAUGAAAACAAGAAUUAAAAUAAAAGACUGAAGACCGACCCGAAAGACUGACUUCUGACCAAGACUAUCACAUGUGUGAAAGGGUUAACCAUUGAAUGAUGAGAGAAUGAAGUGAUUGAGCUGAGUAUUGCAAGUGUAUGUGUGUAAAAAUCUGCAGUGAGUGAAGCGGCUGAGCUAAGCGCUGUGAGUGCGUGUGUUAGAUUUGUAUCAAUGCUUUCAGCUGCGCUUACAAACUGACUUUGUAUGGGAUUACAUGUAUAUGUUUGAUAAUAACUAACUCCUUGCCUUCAUUUUUCCUGUGUCAAUGUGAUUCAAGCAAUGGUUGUAAAAGGGUGAUAUGAAAGAGAGACAAUUAGUGCUGCAAGUGUUAAACUGUUAGAAAGAUCAAAUUUCCAAGGGUUGCUUCUGCACAUCUGCUGUAUCUGCUGAACCGGUCAAAAUACUGUGGGUUUUCAUACUGUUGAAGCUGUCAAUACCAAUACCGAUUUUUGCUGUGUGACUCCAGUGAACAUUGAAGCUGUUGAUCUGUGUAAUUUUUGAGAAGUCUACAGAAUUGUUUUUUUUUUUUUUUUGAGUGUGUUCACUUAAAGAGGGUUCUUUAGUGCUGCAUUUUGAAUGGUGAUGCAAGUCAUGACUAAAGUAGAAUGCGGUAUUGCACUGUCUGAGUAAUGAAAGUGUAAAAAACUAACAGUGAGAGCAUUGGCGCUUUGACUGUGACAUAGUCCGAAGCAAGGCAAGGCUUGGGAAAACGGUGUGACUUACAGGGAGAGACAAGAUCUGCUCUGGUAAACAGCUAGAAAGAAUUUGAGCUAGCCAGAAGUGCUAAGGAGGAAGGAGGGUGGAGUUUUGUAGAACUCCCAACCCCUUUUCCUUUCUCUCUCUCUUUGCUCGUGUAGUGCCUUGCUUAACCCCCCUCCCAUGUGAAAUCCUGACUUUUUGUCGGGUCUGUUUGAUUUUUUUUUUUCUUUUUCUGCAGCAGGGGCUGGCUGUGUGCUUUAAAUUUGACAGCAGACAGAGAUUAUAGAAAAUAUUGAGAAGUGAAGCGGCAAUUGUACUGUCUCCUGUAGAUUAAAACAAAGUUUCAAAUUAAUAAAUUAAAUACAUAAAUAAAAAUAAAUUUAGUUAAAUAAAUUUUUGGUUUUUUCCCAGUAUUAGUAGGGCAAUAAUUAGACAAGAGACUUAAAAUAGAGUGAUAAUCAGAAAAAAAAAUAAAAAUAGAAAUAAAAUAAAUAAAUAAAUAAAACGAUUGGCCGAAACAAUUAAAACUAAAACAGAAAAUGAGUACAACUCCGGUUGCACUAGUGGGGUGUAAAUACCCUGCGCACCUGAAAGACAUCCAGAAAUUAACAAAGAAAUGGGAAAAACGAACCAAGGGAUUGGAAUCUGCAUGGCCAAGAGAAGGCACAUUUGAUGUGACUGUGUGUGAGGAUUUGGAGAGGCGAAUAAAAGAUCAUAAGACCAAAGAUAAAAGUAAAAAACGCCAAGGAAAGAGAGAAUUGGAGCUAAAAGUAUUAAACAUGUUUAAAAGCGAGGGACAACACUACCUAAACAAUCUAAAAAUUGGAAUGGCAGAGCUGAAAAACACCAAGGAGAAGGAAAAGUCACAACUCUGGAAGGAGACCAAAACGGAAAAAGAGAUACCAAAAUCUAAACAGACACCAGAACCUGUAGGUAUAUACCCUUCUCUGGUGGGAAAAAUCAACAUAAAUGGCGAUUUUGAAGUUGAUAGAGGGGAAGCCUCACUCCAAAAUAACUCAGGAGUGGGAGGGGGAGAAAACUGCCCAACUCUAGGAAACAAAGCUAGUGGGGACAAUAUUGGACCACCAAUCCCACAACAUUGCAGCACAACAAAGAAACAGGCACAGAAUAAGCCGUCCAUAAUUGAUUGUUUUGCAGAACGCAAUGAGACUCUGAGAACUGGUGCAGGUGGACUAUCAUAUUGGCAUAACCCUGAAAACAGAAGCAUAGAGUUGCGACGUGAACUCUGUCGCUCAGCAAUACAAGAAAUGGAAAGAGAGGUAGAUGCAUGUGAUGAAUUAAUCCGAAUGAAACUGGGAGAUCGGAGAGACACAACAAGCAACUCAGAUAGUGGGGGAGGACAGACACUAAUCAGCACAGCUAAAACACAGAGUUCACGAACAUCAAAUGAUCCCACACAUGCACAAAAAUAUGAUCUUAGAUACAGGCCCGGGAUACACCCGCCAGAAAAAUAUACUGAUGGCUUAUUUCCAAUCCUAAUAAAGGGCACGCAGGCCACUUAUGUGCCGUGGCAGACCACUGACCUUACUGGGCUGAUUGCCAGGUUGCGGCAACUAGACCAGGGGGCAGGAAGGUGGAUCAGAACAUUUGAAGACGAGACUGUGGGGAAAAUGUUGGCUUUGGGAGACAUGAAAGCACUUUUUGCACAAUUGCUGGGAAUUAAGACAAUAAAGGAGAUUCUCCAAAGGGCUGGACAGGGUUGGAUGGCAGAUCCCAUGGCAGAUGGGACUGAGUUCAACCCCUACCGUGCAGUGUUGUGGAAAACAUUACGGAGUGAGUUUCCUAGCAAAAUAGAUGCAAAAGUGUUAACGGGGGAACCACUGACAGACACAGAGAACCCUGCUGCAUAUAUCGCCAAACAGCUAAAAAUGUGGAAGCAAGAAACAGAGGAGGACACUGAAAGCAAUCCAGUACUAAUGACCUUGUUCAGAAAUUCUGUUAUUGAGGCUCUUCCCGCCAAGGUUCAAGACAGACUGGAGGAGGUUGUGGGUCUGACAUCUAUGCAUUAUACACAGUUUCGUGAUCAUGUGGUGCAUGCUAUCGAGAAGCAUAGAAAAGAUGAGAGCAAAUUAACGGAGCAAGAAAGAAACACACAGAGAAAACUGGUGCAGCUACAGCUGGGGGAACUACAAAAUAAAGACAAAACUCAAGCUGCUGUGGUGACACCAGCAGUACAGGCUGCGCAAAUAACAACUGAAGCACAGCCAGUCUCAGCCCAGCGGGCACCUGCCCCGCCAGCUCCGGCUCCAGUUGUUCAUGUAUAUCCUCCAUCGAGACGUGUUUUCCCUCCGAGGAGACAGUACCAGACAGACAGGCGUAACCUGCCCAAUGGCUGCUGGACAUGUGGACAAGACGGACAUAGAUCGAGGGAAUGCCCCAGAUAUCAGGGUGGUCCAAACGGGAGAUGCGGCAGGGGGCCCCAGCCCAGGCAACGUGAUGGUGGCCCGGCGAAUUCAGACAGAGAGCCUGUAGCUGACUAGGGAUGCCCAGAGAGUCCUACAGAGGGAGGUGGCUCCGAAACGGAGUUUCCAAUGGUAGCCAUGGGAGAAAACGAACCGAUAGUGACAGUUGAAUUAGAAGAUAGACCAAUCCCCAUGCUAGUCGACACUGGAGCCACAUACACAUGCGUCAAUUCAGAACAUGCCACACACCUCCCCAGGUCUAACAAAUUUGUGAAGACAGUAGGAUUCUCGGGUAAACGACAGCUAAUUCCACAAACGGCUCCAGUGCGGCUAUCAGUUGAAAACAAAGAAGUUAAAGUGCCGAUUUUGGUUUCUGAAGAAACCCCUGUGAAUUUGUUAGGCCGAGAUGUCUUGUGCAAACUAAAUGUCCAAAUUUGGUGUUCACCACAAGGAAUCUAUAUUGACAGCUCAGGGUUAGGGCUCCAAAUGAACAUUCAGGCAGACUAUGCAAAAAUAUAUUGGUUGGGUGACAUCGCUGACCCAGUGUCCAAAGCAUUUGACACAUGGGAAAAGUACAUCAGAGUCCAAAUUCCAAAAGCUGAAGCGCCAAUGUCUGAGUAUCAUUGCACUAUGUUUUUUGACCCCUCCUGCAGCAGUGUGUUUGAGGAAAAGUGGGACGAAGGUAACAGAGGCGCGACUCCCACUCUGAAAACACAGUACAUAGUGAUAGGCCAACAAGGAGCAGCGAUGAAUGUAGAAUCAAAUCCAUUCAUCAGAAAGUGGUACAAUGUGCCAGAGUCAGUACCACACAUAACACUGCUGGUAAACGAGUGUUUUGAAUCAAAAGACCUUGGGCCAAUGAUGUGUGCUGCAACAAAAACAAUGUGGGAGGGAACAGAUAACCCAAUGAUUUUUUCCUCAGAGAAGGGUGACAUGAUUAAGAUCCUGUGUGAAACAGAAAUGCAGUCAAGGCCACAAGUGGUGACUGUUCCGAUUAAGGAGGCAGCACAAAGUAUGAUUAAAAUUGAAAAUGAUGAAGAUGCGCUGAAAGAAGACAUGAUUUCAAAGGUUUCUCCAGAGCUCUGGAUUGUUAAAAGCAGGAGUACUGAUUGAGACAGAGUGUCUGCAACACUCCUAUUUUGCCAGUCUUGAAAGCAGAUAAAUCUAAAUAUCGGCUGGUGCAUGAUUUAAGAGUUGUGAAUGAGAUUGUGGAGGAUUGGCCAGCAGAGGUGCCAAAUCCCCAUACACUUCUCACAAAUGUGCCUCCAGAUGCAAAAUAUUUCACAGUCAUUGAUUUGUGUUCUGCUUUCUUCAGUGUCCCUCUAGCGGAGGAAUCUCGCUAUUUGUUUGCUUUUAAAUACAGGGGGAAACAGUACACUUACACAAGACUGCCACAGGGCAUGAAGCUGAGCCCACAUUUGUUUAACAAGGUUCUAAGACAGGAUCUUGAAGACUUGAUGUUGAAAAGCAUAUUGUUGCAGUAUGUUGAUGAUUUACUGAUCUGUGCACCGACAUUGGAGGAGUGUCACCAAGAAUCAGUGAAAGUGCUACAACGCCUAGCAGAGAGGGGGCAUAAAGUCUCCCAGGCGAAGCUACAGUACUGCAAGCCCCAGGUAGAGUACUUGGGGAGAACAAUCUCUCAGGGAGCGAUUGCAAUGUUACCUUCUCAGUUGGAGGGUGUGAGCAGAGCUCCACGCCCACGAACAGUGGGACAAAUGAUGACAUUUUUGGGCAUGACAGGGUUCAAUUCAGAAUGGAUUGAAGGUUAUGCUGAAAAGACUGCCCCACUGAGAGAUCUCAUGAAAGAGGCAGGUGAUCAAUCAUUGAAGACGCAACUGGUUUGGACGGUUGCUGCUAAGGAAGCAUUUGAGACAUUGAAACAGGAAAUGCAGAGUGCGCCUUGUCUUGCGACUCCAGACUAUAGCAAACCGUUUCUGUUGUAUGUGUCAAAUCGACAAAACAUGUAUGCAUCAGCUGUCCUGAUGCAGGAGACUUGCAGUGGUCGUCAAAAGCAGCCAAUAGCAUACUAUAGCUCGAAGCUUGAUAAUGUGGCCCAAGGGUGGCCUCCAUGUUAUCAAGGGCUAGCUGCAGUACAGUAUGCUUAUGAGAAAGCGUCCAUUGUAACUAUGGGAUAUCCAGUGACCAUUUUGACUCAUCAUAAAAUCACUGAGUUGAUCAACAAAGGAAAGUUUGUGGUAACUCAAGCCAGAUGUUUGCAGUAUAUGCCACUUUUGACAUAUCCUGAUGUCACAAUAAAGAAAUGUACCUCAUUGAAUCCAGCAGAUGUUAUUCCUUUUGACUUUCAGGGGGAGCCACAUGAGUGCAUGGCUGAAACAGUGAGGUACACAAAGUUGAGACCUGAUUUGGAGUCUACGCCACUCACAGAAGCAGAGGUGACGUAUUUUGUUGAUGGGUCAUGUUAUCGCGAUCAUUUAGGGAACCACGCCGGGUUUGCAGUGGUUAAACAGGAAAAGGAUGAGUUUGUGACAGUGAGUGCAGAGAGCUGCACUCAACCAUGUUCUGCACAGCUAGCAGAGCUUAUAGCUCUGACAGAAGCGUGCAAGCUUGCAUCAGGAAAAGUUGCAAAUAUUUUCACAGAUUCUGCUUAUGCGCAUGGAGUGUGCCAUUUAUUUGGAGCAGUCUGGAAGCAAAGAGGCUUCAAGAGAGCGGAUGGCAGUCCGGUGCAGCAUCGUGAACAGAUUGUUGCAUUGAUCGCAGCAAUGAUGUUGCCAUCAAAACUUGCCAUUGUGAAAUGUCAAGCCCACAGAAAAGGGAGUAGUGACAUUAUAAAGGGAAAUAAUGCAGCUGAUGAGGCUGCAAAGAAUGCCUCUAAAAGUCAGGUGUCUGUAUUGGCACCGAUGUUGUCACUUGAACCUGCUGCAACUCCAGAGGACAUUAUUUUGAUGCAGCAAAAUGCAAAUGUGAAUGAGCACAACAUUUGGCGUCAAAGAGGCGCCAGCAUUGACAAAGAUGGGCUAUGGAGGUCACAUGAAGGGCUGAUUGUGGCACCGGUAGCUCUGUUAACGAGUUUGAUUUCUGACCUGCACAGUGUGAAUCACUAUGCAAGGGGGGAGAUAAUGAGACAGCUGAGACAGCAGGGUUAUUGGUCACCAUACAUGCAGGCAAUGGUUGAUGAAAUGUUGAGCCAUUGUGAUGUGUGUCUUCAAAACAAUGUAAAAAGACCUAUGAAACCACCAACAGGACACAUUCCAGUUCCCGAGGGACCAUUCAGACAUUUAGUCAUAGAUUAUGUGGAUAUGAUUAAAACAGUCCAGGGGAAACGAUAUAUGUUGGUGGUGAUCGACAGGUUCAGCCGAUGGGUAGAAGCAACACCUUCCAAAGAUCUCGGCGCCGAGACUGUAAUUAAAUUUCUUGUCAGAGAGAUUAUUCCACGUUUUGGCAUUCCAUCAGAGAUUAGUUCAGACAAUGGCUCUGCAUUUGUGCAGAAGGUUGCCAAGGGCAUAUUGCAGCAGCUACGAAUCAAGCAACGACUAGGCAGUGUGUAUCACCCACAGAGCCAGGGCAUGGGAGAGAAAGUGAAUCUAACAAUCAAAAAUCGAAUCAGCAAAAUCUGCGCUAGCACUAACUAUAAAUGGGUAGACGCUUUGCCGCUUGCGCUUAUGGGCUAUCGCAUGCAAAGGCACAGAGUGAUUAAUCUGUCGCCACAUGAGAUGCUAACUGGUAGACCUAUGCCUCAUCCAGCAUGCAGAGGACCUUACAAGGGCCCCACACUUGAGCAGUUGCAGAAUGAACUAAAGGAGUAAAUGAGACAACUGACUGCGAUACAUAGGUCCAUAUAUCUGCAGGAGAAGAGCCGUGAACCUGAUCCAAACCAAGAGGUGGAGAGGCCAGUGGAGCCAGGGGACCAGGUCUACAUCAAAGUCUUUCGAAGAAAGUGGCACGAACCUCGGAGAGAAGGCCCGUACACUGUGGUCCGGGCUACACCUACUUCGGUGCAAGUAGAGGGCAGCACGACGUGGUAUCAUCUGAGUCACUGCACGAAACUGCCAAAGAGACCGAAGGGAAGUACAAUUCUUGACGAGAAAGACUCCAAAAAUGAAUGUGCUACUAAUCUUGAAAGUAACUGUUUUCCUGAUGUGGUUGCUAAAGGGCAACGUAGGCGUGGAAAGGGAAAGAGAGAAAGCGAUGACAGAGGGGGCGCAGACGAAGGUCACACAGGUGCCGAUACUACUGUCCGAAGAAGGAGCCCGAACGAACGUGAGUAUGAUGCAACCCCGAACACAAUCCACACCACUCCAGUGUUAGACCCCAUGCCAACAUUCUCUGAAAAACAACACACAAAAGGCCACAGUCAUACACAAAAACAGACAAAAAUUGAAAGGGACAGACAUAGAUUGUGGGUCAGGGAAAUAAAGAAGCGGCCGUCCCGGAAGGGAAAGGUAGCAGUACCAGCCAGGGUUUGAAACAAUCCUAAGGUAAAGAUAACAGCAUCAGCACCCAGGACAGGACCAGCAAAGCAGCCAGGUGUGACACCUGCUAGAACAGGUCCAGUGACCACAAUAGGUGAGGAGGUAAAAAAGACACGGGCCACAACUCAAACUAUGUUAACCACACAUGGUAGGAAGAUAGGAGAAGAUGACAGCACAGUUCAGGAUGACUAUGAUAAUUAUGAUAAUGCAGGAAACACUGAUGAGCAGCCAGGAAUGGAUGUGCUUAAGGGAAAACCUUGGGGAAACACACAGCCAAUCUUAAGAAGCAUUCAGAGUUAUCCGGAUGAAAGGUGGGAGAUGGCCAGGUAUAAUGGGUGGUAUGAAUGGGCAUUGUUUACAGCUAAAGGGGUAGUUCCUGAAGAAUGUAUUUUAUGCACUGAAUCUCCACUGUCAGUUCCGACCGUAGUUCCUGAGAAGUACACAUUUAGAGAAUGUGCACAAUACCAAAGUCAGAAAUGUAAAGAGGGAAAGUUCGAAGUGAAUAGCGACGUGCUAGAAAGUUCGCCUUUAUAUCAGAAG